ACGCUGGCGGCAGGCCUAACACAUGCAAGUCGAGCGGCAGCACGGGUACUUGUACCUGGUGGCGAGCGGCGGACGGGUGAGUAAUGCCUAGGAAUCUGCCUGGUAGUGGGGGAUAACGUUCGGAAACGGACGCUAAUACCGCAUACGUCCUACGGGAGAGAGUGGGGGAUCUUCGGACCUCACGCUAUCAGAUGAGCCUAGGUCGGAUUAGCUAGUUGGUGAGGUAAUGGCUCACCAAGGCGACGAUCCGUAACUGGUCUGAGAGGAUGAUCAGUCACACUGGAACUGAGACACGGUCCAGACUCCUACGGGAGGCAGCAGUGGGGAAUAUUGGACAAUGGGCGAAAGCCUGAUCCAGCCAUGCCGCGUGUGUGAAGAAGGUCUUCGGAUUGUAAAGCACUUUAAGUUGGGAGGAAGGGCAGUAAAUUAAUACUUUGCUGUUUUGACGUUACCGACAGAAUAAGCACCGGCUAACUCUGUGCCAGCAGCCGCGGUAAUACAGAGGGUGCAAGCGUUAAUCGGAAUUACUGGGCGUAAAGCGCGCGUAGGUGGUUUGUUAAGUUGAAUGUGAAAUCCCCGGGCUCAACCUGGGAACUGCAUCCAAAACUGGCAAGCUAGAGUAUGGUAGAGGGUGGUGGAAUUUCCUGUGUAGCGGUGAAAUGCGUAGAUAUAGGAAGGAACACCAGUGGCGAAGGCGACCACCUGGACUGAUACUGACACUGAGGUGCGAAAGCGUGGGGAGCAAAC
rnacentral:rRNA from 1 species